ensembl:rRNA n-R5s213 nuclear encoded rRNA 5S 213
CCGUCCUGAACGCGCCCGAUCUCAUCUGAUCUCUGAAGCUAAGUAGGGUCGGGCCUGGUUAGAACUUGGAUGGGAGACAGCCUGGGAAUACCCCAUGC